GACGGAGGAGGCUAGCGUUGUUCGGAAUUACUGGGCGUAAAGCGCGCGCAGGCGGCUUGGCAAGUCAGGGGUGAAAGCCCGGGGCUCAACCUCGGAACUGCCCUUGAGACUGUCAGGCUGGAGACCGAGAGAGGAGAGUGGAAUUCCCAGUGUAGAGGUGAAAUUCGUAGAUAUUGGGAAGAACACCAGUGGCGAAGGCGGCUCUCUGGCUCGGUACUGACGCUGAGGCGCGAAAGCGUGGGGAGCAAACAGG
rnacentral:rRNA from 1 species